rnacentral:rRNA from 1 species
CCUACGGGGGGCAGCAGUGGGGAAUAUUGGACAAUGGGGGGAACCCUGAUCCAGCCAUGCCGCGUGUGUGAAGAAGGCCCUCGGGUUGUAAAGCACUUUCAGUGAGGAAGAACGCCUGGUGGUUAAUACCCAUCAGGAAAGACAUCACUCACAGAAGAAGCACCGGCUAACUCCGUGCCAGCAGCCGCGGUAAUACGGAGGGUGCGAGCGUUAAUCGGAAUUACUGGGCGUAAAGCGCGCGUAGGUGGCUUGAUAAGCCGGUUGUGAAAGCCCCGGGCUCAACCUGGGAACGGCAUCCGGAACUGUCAAGCUAGAGUGCAGGAGAGGAAGGUAGAAUUCCCGGUGUAGCGGUGAAAUGCGUAGAGAUCGGGAGGAAUACCAGUGGCGAAGGCGGCCUUCUGGACUGACACUGACACUGAGGUGUGAAAGCGUGGGUAGCAAACAGGAUUAGAUACCCGAGUAGUC